rnacentral:rRNA from 1 species
AUGGCAGUGCCUAGGGCAUCUUGGGACCAUGCAUAUGAAAAAGGUCUUGUUGAUAUAAUGCUUGACCACAACAAUCCCAUCUAUCGAGGUCAAAAUGGGUGGACUGUUGAAGUGUGGACUAGCAUUACAAAUACAUUCAAUCAGAAAUUUCCGCUAGCUCAUUUCACCAAGCACAAAUCCAAGAGAAGGAUAAGGAUUUAA